rnacentral:rRNA from 1 species
GAUGAACGCUGGCGGCGUGCCUAACACAUGCAAGUCGAACGGAGAUUACGGACGGAAGUUUUCGGAUGGAAGACUGUAAUUCUUAGUGGCGGACGGGUGAGUAACGCGUGGGCAACCUGCCCUAUACAGGGGGAUAGCAGCUGGAAACGGCUGGUAAGACCGCAUAAGUCGGUUAAAUCGCAUGAUUUGAUCGGGAAAUGAGCAAUCAGGUAUAGGAUGGGCCCGCGUCCGAUUAGCCAGUUGGCAGGGUAAAAGCCUACCAAAGCGACGAUCGGUAGCCGGACUGAGAGGUCGGACGGCCACAUUGGGACUGAGACACGGCCCAAACUCCUACGGGAGGCAGCAGUGGGGGAUAUUGCACAAUGGAGGAAACUCUGAUGCAGCAACGCCGCGUGAGUGAAGAAGUAUUUCGGUAUGUAAAGCUCUAUCAGCAGGGAAGAUGAUGACGGUACCUGACUAAGAAGCCCCGGCUAACUACGUG